rnacentral:lncRNA from 1 species
GUAACUUACUGCACACCAAAUGUCCAGCCAGGUUUAUCAGAGGAACUUGACUCUUCUAUGCAGAUGGAACUUCGCCAGCAGGCAACGGUUUCACAGGCUCAGCAGCAGAGGACAUGUCAAGAGUACAAGGCAGACAAGUUAGGUUUAAUUAUCUCAAGAAUUCAUAUGUACACAUAUCUAUGAAAAAAAGCCAUGUGUAAAAUCAUUUUCAAAUAUAAGGCCCACAUAUGCAAAGAGGUAUUUGUAGAUCACAAGACAAAGGACAUUAUUGCUGGCCUUUUAAGAUGCAUUUAGGUUACAAUACAUAGCAGCUUGUUUCAGACGAUAGUUGCUAGCACAUAAUCAAAGAAGAACUCCAUCAAGUAAUGCAGAACACCACGCUGAGGAUUGCAUAUUUGCAUGCUCACAUUUGAGAUGAACUAAAAAAUUUCAAUAGGGCCUGAAGCUGUCAUACUUCUGUAGUUAUGUUACAAUCCAUAGUUUUCUAUAAAAUGAUGCAAUCGAUAUGAACACUGUAGUUUUCUCAUUGCCCGACAGGUAACAGGUUCCAAGUAGGUUGUGUACAAUAAUAUAUCUAUGCUUUUACUUUUCAGGCAAAGACAUAACUGCUCAACCUGAGAGCUUGAGGCUAGGUUUCUGAAAAAAAAAACUGUUCCUAAUAAAAGAAAAAAAUCUACAAGCCUUUGAAGGAAACAUAAAAUAAAGUAUACUAAAUUGACAGCAGCAGCCUAGCCUGUUCUGUUCCACGUGAUGAUCCAUCCAACAUUGCUAUCCAGAACUACAACAGCUCCACAAAUUACAACCUGAGAGAGAAGUUGAAUGAAUACAUGCAUCCAACAGUUUCAUAGUAUUAACAGAACUUUCUUUUUUUUUACCUCUUGCAAGAUUACUCAAAACGUAUUAACAAUGUGUGCACUAAAUUGACAAUUUCGCACCCAAACAUCCAAACUUUCCAAAGCAGAGUAAACCUAAUUUCAGAUCCAACAUUUAGCACUGAUUUCAGCUAUCCCAUGGUCGAAGCUACUAGAGUUCAGCUAACCCAACCAUGAAUUCUACCCCCAAUCACAACAUGGUCCAUGGCAUCACACAGGAGGCAAUAGGCUAGACAAUAUAUCAUUAAAACACCAAACCUUUGCAGCACCGUUUCGUGGAAGAAUCCGGCAUUGUUUCAUUGCAGAAUCGACCAAAAAUAAAUCAAGUGUGUGUCAAGUGAAAGUAGAAUUUUUUAUUAUCCUAGAAAAGAGUUGCAGGAGCAGGCACCAAAGCACAGAAACCAUUGGGCUCCCGGCCGGCCACAAAAUUGACAUGAUGGCUCAUGCCAUCUCGUGAUAUGAUGAUUGGAAAGGAAAAAACUAAUCCCGUGGCCAUUCAAUCCUACGACGAUUGAUACGAAUUCGAUCAAAUUGGAUUGGUCGAAUUGAAUGGACAAAAAUCAUGGAAGUGAUUACCUGAAGGCUUGCACGGGCACCGUGUUGGCAAACUUGCAGGCAGAGACGUCCAGAUGCCGCCGCCGGAACAGAUGCAGCCGUCGCCGGUUUGUUGCCAGAGAAGAUGGUUCGCACGGAUCCCCAUUCCUACAGCCCAUG